rnacentral:rRNA from 1 species
UACGUAGGGCGCAAGCGUUGUCCGGAAUUAUUGGGCGUAAAGAGCUCGUAGGCGGCCUGUCGCGUCUGCUGUGAAAUCCCGGGGCUUAACCCCGGGCGUGCAGUGGAUACGGGCUGGCUGGAGGCAGGCAGGGGAGAAUGGAAUUCCCGGUGUAGCGGUGAAAUGCGCAGAUAUCAGGAGGAACACCGGUGGCGAAGGCGGGUCUCUGGGCCGAUACUGACGCUGAGGAGCGAAAGCGUGGGGAGCGAACAGG